UACGGGGGGGGUAAGCGUUGUUCGGAAUUACUGGGCGUAAAGGGCUCGUAGGCGGCCAACUAAGUCAUACGUGAAAGCCCCCGGCUCAACUGGGGAGGGUCACUCGAUACUGUUUGACUCGAAGGCGGGAGAGGGAAGUGGAAUUCCCGGUGUAGUGGUGAAAUGCGUAGAUAUCGGGAGGAACACCAGUGGCGAAGGCGACUUCCUGGCCCGUUCUUGACGCUGAGGCGCGAAAGCUAGGGGAGCAAACGGG
rnacentral:rRNA from 1 species